rnacentral:rRNA from 1 species
GAUGAACGCUGGUGGCAUGCCUAACACAUGCAAGUCGAGCGAUUCUCUUCGGAGAAGAGCGGCGGACGGGUGAGUAACGCGGGGAUAACCUGCCCUGUACACACGGAUAACAUGCCGAAAGGUAUGCUAAUACGAGAUAACAUGCGUUUAUCGCAUGGUAGAAGUAUCAAAGCUUUUGCGGUACAGGAUGGGCCCGCGUCUGAUUAGCUAGUUGGUGAGGUAACAGCUCACCAAGGCGACGAUCAGUAGCCGACCUGAGAGGAUGAUCGGCCACAUUGGAACUGAGACACGGCCCAAACUCCUACGGGAGGCAGCAGUGGGGAAUAUUGCACAAUGGGCGAAAGCCUGAUGCAGCAACGCCGCGUGAGUGAUGAAGGCCUUAGGGUUGUAAAGCUCUGUCACCCGGGAAGAUAAUGACGGUACCUGGGGAGGAAGCCCCGGCUAACUACGUG